AGUGGCGGACGGGUGAGUAACGCGUAGGAAUCUACCUGAUAGUGGGGGAUAGCCCGAAGAAAUUCGGAUUAAUACCGCAUAAUCUAUUCGUAGUAAAGUGGGGGACUUUCGAGCCUCACGCUAUCAGAUGAGCCUGCGUAAGAUUAGCUAGUUGGUAGGGUAAAAGCCUACCAAGGCGACGAUCUUUAGCUGGUCUGAGAGGAUGAUCAGCCACAUCGGGACUGAGACACGGCCCGAACUCCUACGGGAGGCAGCAGUGGGGAAUAUUGGACAAUGGGGGCAACCCUGAUCCAGCAAUACCGCGUGUGUGAAGAAGGCCUGAGGGUUGUAAAGCACUUUCAAUUGUGAAGAAAAGCUCGUGGUUAAUAGCCAUUAGCCUUGACGUUAACUUUAGAAGAAGCACCGGCUAACUCCGUGCCAGCAGCCGCGGUAAUACGGAGGGUGCAAGCGUUAAUCGGAAUUACUGGGCGUAAAGCGUGCGUAGGCGGUUUAUUAAGUCAGAUGUGAAAGCCCCGGGCUUAACCUGGGAACUGCAUUUGAAACUGGUCAACUAGAGUAUGGUAGAGGAAAGUGGAAUUUCUGGUGUAGCGGUGAAAUGCGUAGAUAUCAGAAGGAACAUCAAUGGCGAAGGCAACUUUCUGGACCAAUACUGACGCUGAGGUACGAAAGCGUGGGUAGCAAACAGGAUUAGAUACCCUGGUAGUCCACGCCGA
rnacentral:rRNA from 1 species